rnacentral:tRNA from 1 species
GCCGGCGUAGCUCAACGGUAGAGCACCCGCCUUGUAAGCGGAAGGUUGCGGGUUCAAGUCCUGCCGCCGGCACCA